GACGAAGGAUGCAAGCGUUAUCCGGAUUCAUUGGGUUUAAAGGGAGCGUAGGCGGCCUUGUAAGUCAGUGGUGAAAUCUCUGGGCUUAACCCAGAAAAUUGCCAUUGAUACUGCAGGGCUUGAGUACAGUUGCCGUUGGCGGAAUAUGACAUGUAGUGGUGAAAUACAUAGAGAUGUCAUAGAACACCGAUUGCGAAGGCAGCUAACGAAACUGUAACUGACGCUGAGGCUCGAAAAGUGUGGGGGAUCAAAACAGGG
rnacentral:rRNA from 1 species